UAUAUAUAUAUAGAAUUGAGCUCUAAUGCUUUUAAAAAUACCAAGUCGUUGGUGCUUAUAGGUUUUCGUCUCUUGGAUUAAGGGAUGUGUAGUUAGUAUGAUAGUAGUCCCAUAUAAUUGAAUGGGUGGUUGGUUGAAUAUUAUGAUCUAACGGAAGGAAAUAAUCAAAGAGAGAAAGAUUUAACGACAGAAAACUUACAAGCAAUAAGUGUUCGGUGCUUUUAAAAGCACCAUAGCCAGAAUAUAUAUAUAUAUAGAGAGAGAGAGAGAGAGAGAGAGAUUACAGCAGUUUUUGUGCUCCUAACUUUCGAAUUAUUCAUCAAUUUUGAUGAAUGGUUAAGGUGAGAAAGGAAAAAAUGUUGAGAAAAAUUGGCUGUUUCAAUUUCUCUUCUCUUUGAAUUUAUUUUCAAUUUUUCUUCUCUCUUUAUCCUAAUCAUCCAUCAAAAUUGAUGAAUGGUUCGGAAGUAGGAGUACAUAGGCUAUUGUGCUCCUAAUAGCAGGAGCACAAUAUCCUUACUCCACACACACACACACACACACACACACACACACACACACAUAUAUAUAUAUAGAGAGAGAGAGAGAGAGGCUAGUAUACUAUCGGUAGCACGGAAGCUUCCGUGCUACCGAGUUGUUUUCAAUAAUAUGACUUUCAAAUCAACAAUCGGCUCCGUUAGGUUUGAUCUACACCAUUGAAAGUAUUUGAAAACUAACUUUCAUAAUUUUUUGACAUUAUCUGGCUAGUGAUCAAAGGGUCUCAAAAUUGAUAAUUUUAAUGGCCAAUGUGAUGUGAUGCAUUUGUGAAUUUAACCAUAUAAAAUAAUUCAAAUAUAAUGA
rnacentral:lncRNA from 1 species